AAAGGGAAUUGUUUGAAGACUGGGAUGGUUUUUACAGGAAGCUGUGAUAAGAUGGAAUCCUAAAUAGGAGGAAAGGAGCUCCCUGUGUAACUCUGUGCCUUUAUCCACUUUUGGCAAUUGGAGCUGGUUCUAAAGCCCUGAUGGGACUUGGACUGGGUCUUCGCCAAGUCCCCAUCGGCCCGACCCAUCCUUUCAUCCCCUGAGGCACCAGGGAGGCAAGCCCAGAUACGUGAAUUGCCAAUUCAAUCGCGAAAUGACUUGGACAAAUAGGAUUUUUAUGUUCCUGUAAGUUCACGUGUGCAGAGGCCUUGGGGGAAAAAGAAGCUGCCCAGUGGGGUGUGAAGGACACUAGGGUUUGUGUUCUCUGCUGAGAUUCCAGGAACCUUGGGAGGCCUUUGUAUCCUGAAAUGUCCCAAACGGGCCACAAACGCUUGGUUCCCUCUGGUUUUCUCUUGAGUAGAAUUCCAUUCCCUCCCUCUCUUCCUGCUCUGAGUUGGCAACGAUGAAGAACCAGCUGGACGCAUCGGAGGGAUUUAGCUUCCUUAAUGGGUCGGACGGACGCUUGGAGGGGAAGGGGCCUAGGGAGAGGCCAUUCCAUCCAUAGCUGCUGGCCUGGCAGGGAGGAGGGAAGCAAUACGCCCCAACUGUCUUGUGUACGGUGGAGCUGGGGUGGGCGGAUAAGCGUUUAUUCCGACUUUACGUUUCGCUAGUGGCUGGUUCAAGAGUUAGCUUCUGGGGCCAAUGGGCCAAGGAUCAGCUGUUGGGAGAGGUCGGGGAGGAGGAGCACGACUGGGUCUCCGAAAUGGUCACAGGAAAAGAAAAAGAAGAAGUGUGUUAUAGGCAACAAGAUACACCAAGGCCAGUCCCGGACACCCGAAUUGUUGCCAGGUCGCCCGCUGGCUCCCCACUGGCACACCCUCGGCGACUCUGUCAUCCCAUCUGUGCGAGGACCACACCUGGUUAGCUCCAGGGGGACACCGUACUCCUUACAGAUCCCGAGGAUCCAACGCCUGGUGUCUAUACAGUCGACUCAGCACCUGACUUGAAGCAGAGCCAGCAAACAUUUGAGGGAAAUUAACACCGUAAAGAAGAAGGGCCAAGAACAAUCAACCAGGUAACCUAGAUAAAGCUAGGGAUGAAACAAAUAAACCGAAACAAUUUAUAAUUAUUAUCUUCA
rnacentral:lncRNA from 12 species